rnacentral:lncRNA from 1 species
UUUAAGGCCAAGGUUGGAAAAAAAUAGUAAAAAGCUAAAAAUUGUUAGAUGCAAUAAUUUAACUAUCCUGAACAAUAUACUAAAAGUCCCCAUGUAUCCUCUUGGAGCUUUUUCCAUUAUGACAAGGUUUUUUUCGACUUCCCUAUUACCCCCAUAUUGUUAAAAAACGUGAAAUUUCAAGUUCACUCAUAACAAAAAUGACUCGCAUCACUAGAAAGCUCAUAAAAACUACAUAUAAGACAUUUAAACAGUCACCUAAAUUUUUCAAGCGGUUUUCGAGUUAUUGCUGUUCCAAAUGUGGCAAAUAGGCCGAAAUCUGGCAAAAAUCCUGGGUACUAGUCUGACAACACGUUUCCAACGGCUCAUAACUCAAGAAGAACUUGCAAAAUCAAGGUAGCCGUUUAAAUGUCUUAUAUG